UGACAGAUUCCGUGCUAUGCGUAGUCGCCCAACCCCGUCAGGACCGGAAGGUAGCAGCGGUAAGCGACUUACCAUGAGACAUGGGUGAUUUGUCUGCU
rnacentral:SRP_RNA from 1 species